rnacentral:rRNA from 1 species
GAUGAACGCUAGCUACAGGCUUAACACAUGCAAGUCGAGGGGCAGCACAGUUUAGCAAUACACGGGUGGCGACCGGCGCACGGGUGCGAAACACGUAUCCAAUCUGCCCGUUACUCAGGGAUAGCCUUCUGAAAGGAAGAUUAGUACCCGAUGGCAUUCAUUUCGGGCAUCGCUUAUGCAUUAAAGAUUUAUCGGUAACGGCUGGGGAUGCGUACGAUUAGCUUGUUGGCGGGGUAACGGCCCACCAAGGCGACGAUCGUUAGGGGUUCUGAGAGGAAGGUCCCCCACACGGGAACUGAGACACGGUCCAGACUCCUACGGGAGGCAGCAGUGAGUAAUAUUGGUCAAUGGUCGAGAGACUGAACCAGCCAAGUAGCGUGAAGGAUGACUGCCCUAUGGGUUGUAAACUUCUUUUGUUUGGGAAUAAAGUCAGGUACGUGUACCUGUUUGUAUGUACCAUUCGAAUAAGCAUCGGCUAAUUCCGUGCCAGCAGCCGCCGUAAAAC